UCAAGUUCAGUUUUGACAGAUUGAUCGUAUAGCCAAGCUCAACUUGUUUAGGAUUGAAGCAUAGAAUGGAGCAUCAUGGUUUUGUGAGAAUUAGAAUAGCUAACCUCAACCUGUUUAGGAUUGAGGCAUUGUUGUUAUUGCAAUCCUAACUGCAUUAUUGAAAUCCAGCAUUAAAAGGAUGGAAAUGUUAGUAGUACUUGAAGAGAAAUAUCUUUUGUUCAAUAAACAACUUAGAAGUAAAUUCUCAUCUUUAAGAAGUUUCUUCAUUCAAAAUAACUAAUUUUUAACUGUUUAUAUACCAAAGAAUGAACUGUUUAACUAUAUAAAAUUGUAUGGUUUCUUGUCAUUAUUACUCUUACACUCUGACUAACCAGUCCUGAUUUCAAUAUUAUGUUCUUGAAAUAGCUGUUCACAGGAUAAAACUUACCCGCACUGGGUGUACAUAUCAAAUAAAUACAUACAUGUCAUGUGUUUAAAUUUAUAGUUCAUUUUAUUUAAUCAUAAUUAAUUAACAUGUGUUUUACUUCAUUAAAUCACAUAAUUAAAAAAAUCGCAUUAAUUAAGUAUAUACACCCAAUGCGGAUAAGUUUUUUUGAGGUUUUAAUGAGUUAUUUGCUUUUCAAACUGAUUGGUUUUUCUCAUUCAAAGCGAAAUAAACAAGUACAACAUUUAGAUUUCAGGUUUUUCAAUAAAUUGUUUUGCUAGAUAUGAUAAGUUAUUUAUAAUUAGAAGUGUCAAAAAUGAGCCCAAUUAUAGGUGAUUCGUUCAAAAUUUUAAGGGUUGAGCUCAAAAUAAUUUGAGUUGGGGUCUAUCUCAACUCAUUCAAACCUUAACUCAUUUUAAGGGCAUCUCCAACCCAAUCCCCUAUUUUACUCUCCAAAUAUAGAGUUCUCUAUUUUUUUCCAGACAACCAACUCCAACCCAAUUCUCUAUUUUACUCUCUAAAAAGGAAUCUUUUUCUCUCUCCUCAAUAUUAUAUUAUUAUUUCUAUUUCAUUCUUAUUUUCUUAUUUCAUAAUAUAAAUCCUUUAUUUCUUUUUUCCAAAUAAUUACUUUAUAUAAUUUUUAAUGUGAUAUAAAAUUAUUUUUUAUUCUAAAUUUUUAAAUAACAUAAAUUGCAAGAAAAUAUAAUAUAAUACAUAAAAUUAGGGGAUAAAAUUCAAAUAAAAGUGACAUACAAUUACAUAAACACUCAAUUUUCAAAAUUAUUACGUUGCUCGCAUAAAUGCUCUAUUAAUGCAUUACGGAGUUCAAUAUGAGCAUUUUUGUCCUUAAUUUUUUUAUGUCUAGCUAAAAAUUGUUCAAACCGGAGAUUUUCAUCUAUCACCAUUUCUAUAGUUGGAGUUGGAGCCUCUACGGAAUCUUGAAUUGGUGCAUUGAGAUCUGUUGUGCAGUAUAAUACAUGUAGUCAUUAUAUCAUGUAGCACUUCCUUUCUCCAAAAACGUGACAGUCCUGCAAUAAUUGCAAAACUCCGAAUGCACGUUCAACAUCUUUUCGGCACAAUUCUUGUUUCAUCGCGAAAUAUUUCUUUUGUUGGGAAUGAGGAUCACGAAUAGUUUGAACAAUUGUAGACCAUUUAGGAUAUAUAUCAUCAGCUAAAUAAUAACCCAUAUUGUAUAUCAUCACAACUGUAGUCACAACUACAAUCACAACAAUUCUUGAAAACAUAUCCUAAUUUUUUUCUGAAUAGUGCUAAAUCUGGAAACGACCUACCAUAUUUCUAAAUUAUCGUUGUGAUCAAUUAAUUAUUAUGCUAUGUAUUGUAUUUUAUCUUGUAUUUAAAUUAUUAUGUUAUGUAUUAUAUUGUAUUGUUAUCUUGUAUUUAAAUUAUUAUGUUAUGUAUUAUAUUGUAUUGUUAUCUUGUAUUUAAAUUAUUAUGUUAUGUAUUAUAUUGUAUUGUUAUCUUGUAUUUAAAUUAUUAUGUUAUGUAUUAUAUUGUAUUGUUAUCUUGUAUUUAAAUUAUUAUGUUAUGUAUUAUAUUGUAUUGUUAUCUUGUAUUUAAAUUAUUAUGUUAUGUAUUAUAUUGUAUUGUUAUCUUGUAUUUAAAUUAUUAUGUUAUGUAUUAUAUUGUAUUGUUAUCUUGUAUUUAAAUUAUUAUGUUAUGUAUUAUAUUGUAUUGUUAUCUUGUAUUUAAAUUAUUAUGUUAUGUAUUAAUAUGGUCUAAGUGAAUCAUCAAUUGAACCCAAUUUAAUCUCCAAUUUCAACCCGUUUUAAGACUCUUUAUUUGCAUUGAUGUAAUGUAUUGAAGGUGUGAAUUACUAUCUAUUUUAUAUUUUUUAGAAUUUAUCUAUCAAUUUGUAACUUCUUUUCUCUUGUGCAUCUUUAUGGUUAUAUCGUCCUUAAGAAGGAUGCGACGGGAAGAAGUGGCAUUUCACAACUAGAAAAUGGUAAAUUACUUAGAGAUUUUACUUGGGGAUUAUUUUCGUAGAAAUUUCCUACGAAUUUUCAUGGGGAAAUAAGAAAUUCCUAAAUUUUAGUUUUUUUACAUGGGGAAAAUAUUUCCCUAGAAAAAUCGGUAGGUAAAUUUGGCGACAUUUUCGUAAAAUUAUUACCUGAGAAAUUAUUUGGGGAAACCGAUUGCAAGUAUCAUUUUCAUAAGUAAAUUCGCAAGUAAUGAUUUUUUUUUAAAAAAAAAAUCUAUUUAGUAUGAAAAUCGCUAGAUAAAAUUAUUUGCAUAUUUAGCUAGGAAUAAUUACUUGAAAAUUUAUCUAGAAGUAAUUUUAUAUCUGAUAUUAUCUGGGGGAUUUAUGUUCCACGAAUUUUGUUGGAAAUUUAUUUCUUGAGGAUUUACUUGAAAAUUUUUUUACUUGAAGAAUUAUUUGGGGAUUUUAUUUGUGUGAAUUUGGUUGAAGAUUUUUAGAGGAAUUUACUUGAAAAUAUGCCUACUUGAAUUAUUUUUUAAAUAUAAUUUGACUAUAAGUUUUUUUCUUGGAAUUUAAGAAUUAUUUUUAUUUGGUCUUUGAGAAAUAUUUUCUUAAAAAUAUAGUUAACAAAAUUAAAAAUUAUAAAAAUAUAAAAAUAAUAAUGAAAUUAGAAUGACUUUGUUUGUUAAACAUUUACUCUACUUUCUGGUUAAAAUCAAAUGGCUAAUUAUCUAUUCAAUAGAAAAAUAACUAUAAAAAUACAAUUAAUUUUAAAUUAAGAUUAUUUUAUAUUUAAUCGUGUACUAUUGAACAAGACAAGCACUAUUCUUAAGUAGAGAAAAUUUGAUUAUAUUCAUUACUAAUGUGAAGUUUGAUUAACCCGAUCAUUAAUAGAAUUAUAUUAAAUAAAAAAUAAAAUAAUUUUUACUUGUAUAUCCAAUUGAUAUUUAUUUUUCGCAAGCAUUAAAAUUAUAUAAUUUCUCUAUAGUAAGUUAUUAAAUGAUAUUUAUUUACAAAUAUUAUAUAAUUAAGUAUGUUAAAAUAUAAUUAUUAAAAUAAUAAAUGCCACAAAUACCAAAUAAGAUUCUUUUGUCAAGUAAUUUACCUGUGAAAUUUAAUUCUCUAGGUAAAUUAUUUGUGGAUUUUAAAAUCCACAGGAAAUAAUUAUCUAUGUGGCACCACCACAAAUCAUGAUUUCCUUUUAGUAUAUAUAUAUAUAAAGAGAAUUCCUACGUGGCACCACCACAAAUCAUGAUUUCCUUUUAAUUUAUUUAUUUCCAAAACUAGUCUUCCCCUUUCAUGAAAAGUUGUGACUUUUAUGAAGAAUUGCGACUUUUAUGAAAGUUUGUAUCCUUCGCGAAGCGUUGUAACUUUUCGGAGUUGUGACAUUUCUAAUAAGGCACAAUAAACAUUUGUUUACACUACCCUUUGUUGUCUAUAAAUAGAGGGAUUUCCUUUCAUUUUAAAACAACAUAAAUUCUAAACUUCUUCUUCUUCCUCUUCUACAUAAUUAAGUAUUUGUGUACUUGGUCAUGUUGAGUGGCUCACUAACACCAUUGUUUUUUUAUCAAUACACUAGUGAAUAUAAUUGUGUUAUCAUGAGAGGAUCGGAACUAUUCCUUUAAAACUCAGUACUAGAUGAGAAUAAAUCCUUUAAGGGGGGACAUUGUACAUUCAACUGUGAACUCGAUUUUUUUCUUUUUGUUUCAUUCUAUUGUUACAGAUCUUGGCAUAUUUUUUUACGGUCAUUAAUUUGUGUUAAUGAUAUUAAUUGUUCUUUUUGAGUACAUGUCCCUAAGGAUGUGGGCAAAAUGCACUAUCCCUUUACUCCUCCAAUAUUUAAUUUUGUUCAUCUCCAUUCUAAUCUUCCAUGGAGUCUCCCAUCUAUUCUUCAAUCAUAUUGAUCAUAGAUAGUGAAUCUGACUCUAUUAGAACUGGAGUCCUUUGUUGUUCAAUACAGAAUCUAACACCUUCUUGAAUAGAUGUAGCUUCUGCACAUAAGCUGUUAGUUACCCCUAAUCUUCUUGCUUCAGCAUAUAUCAAAUCCCCAUUAGCAUCUCUCAAACAAAAAGCUGCAGAUUUUUUAGCUAAUGAAGUUUUUUCUUUUGCAGGGACAGAAGAUCUAAAAUACAAUUGUUUCCAAGAGUUACCAUUGCAAGCUAGAAGGUUACUCAACAUCGACAAACAACAAAUCCCACAACUAAGGCUCAACACAUUCAGAAAUAGGGAGCCAGAUUGAUGUUAAUUAUUCAAAUUGUAAAACGGGCAGACAAAUACAUCACAUAAAAAUCAGAAGCAAAGAUUCAAUACAGCAAAACUUCAAACUACAUGUAGCCAUCUUUUUGAUUGAUUUUAUUUGACCGAUGUACAAAUAACAAAUUUACUAAGUGUGGUAUUAGUCUUGUAUUAGGCUCAUUCCAUUGUAAAUUUUUGUUUGAACAAAAGUUAAUUAAAUUCAAUUGAGUUUUGUCUUCAGCUCUAUAGAGAAAAAGUUAGAAAUACCUUUUGAGUCAUCGCAUAGAAAAGCUGAUUAAGUUCAACUUCAUCUUGGAUUUUGAUUUCACAGCGUCUGGUGAGAGCUUUGAGACCGCUAAACUUGGAAUCGAACCAGGAAAUCAACUCAAUCUUGCAUUUAAGGAAUGAUUCAAGUUAGAUCUAGCUAACUAUUGAAGUUUCGACCAGUGACGAAGAGAAGUUCAAGAAGACUACCUUCACGAUUUUCAAAACCGGCGAGCUUGCCUUCGAUUAUCUUCAUUGGUGGCUGUCUUGCUCCGGCGUGGUUGAUCGAGAAGCUGUGUUCUUGACAUUUCCUUUUCUUGCCUUUGUCUUUUCAUUUUCCUGUUCGUCUC
rnacentral:lncRNA from 1 species